rnacentral:rRNA from 1 species
AAGUUUGAUCAUGGCUCAGAAUGAACGCUGGCGGCAGGCCUAACACAUGCAAGUCGAACGAGGUAGCAAUACCUAGUGGCGGACGGGUGAGUAACACGUGGGAACGUACCCUUUGCUACGGAAUAGCCCUGGGAAACUGGGAGUAAUACCGUAUGAGCCCGAGAGGGGAAAGAUUUAUCGGCAAAGGAUCGGCCCGCGUUGGAUUAGGUAGUUGGUGGGGUAAUGGCCUACCAAGCCGACGAUCCAUAGCUGGUUUGAGAGGAUGAUCAGCCACACUGGGACUGAGACACGGCCCAGACUCCUACGGGAGGCAGCAGUGGGGAAUCUUAGACAAUGGGGGAAACCCUGAUCUAGCCAUGCCGCGUGACCGAUGAAGGCCUUAGGGUUGUAAAGAUCUUUCAGGUGGGAAGAUAAUGACUGUACCACCAGAAGAAACCCCGGCUAACUCCGUG